AAUCCAUGUUUAGGGCAUUUUUUUAAUAAAGCUUUAUAUCUCUCCAUGCUUCAUAAAAAUGUUCACCAACUCUCUAGGAGAAAUUUGCAAUGGCAGUUUUGGCACU
rnacentral:snoRNA from 1 species